UUAAAGAACACUCCAAGCACCAUAACCACUACAGUGUGUUGUAGUGGUUAUGGUGCCUGGAGUGCCCUAAGU